rnacentral:rRNA from 1 species
GAUGAACGCUAGCGGCGCGCCUUAUGCAUGCAAGUCGUACGGUUCCGCAAGGGACAGUGGCAAACGGGUGAGUAAUAGGUAGGUAACCUGCCCUUAAGUGGGGGAUAACACUUCGAAAGAAGUGCUAAUACCGCAUGUGGUGCUCUUUCACAAGAAGGAUCACUAAAACCGCAAGGUGCUUGGGGAGGGGCCUGCCUCCGAUUAGCUAGUUGGUGAGGUAACGGCCCACCAAGGCUGGGAUCGGUAGCUGGUCUGAGAGGAUGGUCAGCCACACUGGGACUGAGACACGGCCCAGGUUCCUACGGGAGGCAGCAGCAAGGAAUCUUGGGCAAUGGGCGAAAGCCUGACCCAGCGACGCCGCGUGAGGGAUGAAGGCCUUCGGGUUGUAAACCUCUUUUCUCAGGGAAGAAUAAUGACGGUACCUGAGGAAUAAGUCUCGGCUAACUACGUGCCAGCCGCCGCAGUAAGAC